UACGUAGGUGACCAGCGUUGUCCGGAUUUACUGGGCGUAAAGAGCGCGCAGGCGGUCGUUCAAGUCGAGUGUGAAAGCCCCCGGCUCAACUGGGGAGGGUCACUCGAUACUGAUCGACUUGAAGGCAGGAGAGGGAAGCGGAAUUCCCGGUGUAGUGGUGAAAUGCGUAGAUAUCGGGAGGAACACCGGUGGCGAAGGCGGCCUUCUGGACGGAUACUGACGCUGAGACGCGAAAGCGUGGGGAGCAAACAGG
rnacentral:rRNA from 1 species